ACCAGACUCCUACGGGAGGCAGCAGUGGGGAAUCUUCCGCAAUGGGCGAAAGCCUGACGGAGCAACGCCGCGUGAUCGAAUGAAGGCCUUCGGGUUGUAAAGAUCUGUUGACAGGGACGAAUAAGCAAUGCGAAUAGUUUUGUGUAUGACGGUACCUGUUUAGAAAGCUCCGGCUAACUACGUGCCAGCAGCCGCGGUAAUACGUAGGGAGCAAGCGUUGUCCGGAAUUACUGGGCGUAAAGGGCGCGUAGGUGGGCGCUUAAGUCAGGUGUGAAAACCCGAGGCUCAACCACGGGAGUGCAUUGGAAACUGGCGGGCUGGAGUGCCGGAGAGGUAAGCGGAAUUCCUAGUGUAGCGGUGAAAUGCGUAGAUAUUAGGAGGAACACCAGUGGCGAAGGCGGCUUACUGGACGGCAACUGACGCUGAGGCUCGAAAGCGUGGGGAGCAAACAGGAUUAGAUACCCGAGUA
rnacentral:rRNA from 1 species